rnacentral:rRNA from 1 species
AUUGAACGCUGGCGGCAUGCCUUACACAUGCAAGUCGAACGGUAACGAGGGGCAACCUGGCGACGUGUGGCGAACGGGCGAGUAAAUUAUCGGAACGUGGGCACUUGCGUGGGAUAGCUGGGCGAACGCCGGAUUAAUACCGCAUAAGACGUGAGGGUGAAAGGGGGGGAACGCAAGAGCUCGGGCUAUUGGAGUGGUCCAUAUCAGAUUAGGUAGUUGGUGGGGUAAAGGCCUACCAAGACGACGAUCUGUAGCUGGUCUGAGAGGACGACCAGCCACACUGGGACUGAGACACGGCCCAGACUCCUACAGGAGGCAGCAGUGGAGAAUUUUGGACAAUGGGCGAAAGCCUGAUCCAGCCAUGCCGCGUGCGGGAAGAAGGCCCUCGGGUUGUAAACCGCUUUUGUCGGGGAAGAAAUCUUCUGGGCUAAUACCUUGGAAGGAUGACGGUACCCGAAGAAUAAGCACCGGCUAACUACGUGCCAGCCGCCGCAGUAA